GCUGUCUGUGAUGUCACUUAUUAUCGUACCUACCUUGUUUGAAUUGCUUUGAAAACAAAAAAUAUCUGAGACAUGC
ensembl:snoRNA SNORD34 Small nucleolar RNA SNORD34